AAGAAGGUAUCGAGACGCGCGAGGCCCGGCUCUCCACUGUUCGGUGUGCCGUAGACUAGAGAGGGUGCCUCCAGGACUCCAAAAGUGCGACCCAAGGACUCGACUUCACCGCCAGAAACUGUCAUCGUGAGAUGCUGUGGACUUCGCCGUUGGAUCACCGUCAACUUCAAAUUACCCGGAAAGGAUAGUCAUGGGAGAUGUAGAUGCAAAUGUUCCUGCUGCUGUGCUGCUACGUUGCUGUUGGCUACGUCCUGGGAUGUUGUUUCUGUGGCUGGCCUCUCUGAACCGUCAAAUGCUUCGUCUGGACUGCGAUCCGCUGCCGGUCGCAAGGAACUGUGUCGAGUUUGUUGUAGCAGUUAUAACAGAAGUCUGGGGAGACUUAAUUAAUUUUAUUGAUACCAGUUUAGGUUUC